CCUACGGGUGGCUGCAGUGGGGAAUAUUGGACAAUGGGCGAAAGCCUGAUCCAGCCAUGCCGCGUGUGUGAAGAAGGCCUUCGGGUUGUAAAGCACUUUCAGUGGGGAAGAAAGCCUUGGGGCUAAUACCCUCGAGGAAGGACAUCACCCACAGAAGAAGCACCGGCUAACUCCGUGCCAGCAGCCGCGGUAAUACGGAGGGUGCGAGCGUUAAUCGGAAUUACUGGGCGUAAAGCGCGCGUAGGCGGUCUGAUAAGCCGGUUGUGAAAGCCCCGGGCUCAACCUGGGAACGGCAUCCGGAACUGUCAGGCUAGAGUGCAGGAGAGGAAGGUAGAAUUCCCGGUGUAGCGGUGAAAUGCGUAGAGAUCGGGAGGAAUACCAGGGGCGAAGGCGGCCUUCUGGACUGACACUGACGCUGAGGUGCGAAAGCGUGGGUAGCAAACAGGAUUAGAUACCCCGGUAGUC
rnacentral:rRNA from 1 species